CGGGUGAGUAACGCGUGAGGAACCUGCCUCAAAGAGGGGGACAACAGUUGGAAGCGACUGCUAAUACCGCAUAAGCCCACGGCUCGGCAUCGAGCAGAGGGAAAAGGAGCAAUCCGCUUUGAGAUGGCCUCGCGUCCGAUUAGCUAGUUGGUGAGGUAACGGCCCACCAAGGCGACGAUCGGUAGCCGGACUGAGAGGUUGAACGGCCACAUUGGGACUGAGACACGGCCCAG
rnacentral:rRNA from 1 species